UGCUGGAUGGAUGCUAGAGAUGGACAUCUGCUCUCUGUCUGCUCAGCACCUGUGGGAGACGUGGCUGCUGUCCACCAGAGGCUUAGGUUUCCCUCCCGUUGUGCAGAGUGGCUGCUGGGAAUGGUCGCCCAGCCAGAUGGGGUUUUGCCAAGUUUCCCAGGCUGGUCUCGAACUCCUGAGCUCAAGCAAUCUGCCUGCCUUAGGCUCCCAAAGUGCUGGGAUUACAGGCAUAAGCCACCAGGCCUGGCUUAGUGUUCGAAAUUUAGAAGCCACUUGUUGAAGCUGGCACAGAUACAGAAGAGAAGAAACCCAUUUCCUCAAAUCACUGCUUCAAAGAAAGCUGCCGGAUCAAGAACACACAGAUUAUGUAAAUUGCGGAUUUCUUCUUGGUUUGGAUCCGUUGCUGGCAAUCUCAAAUGUACAUAAAAGUUGCAAUUAUACUGUUUGGACGAACGGAGGCAAGAUGGUGCACUUCCGGGUUCUUCUUCACCAACUUUUCCCGUGCGCGGGAAAAUGCAGCCGGCGCCCGGGAAGGUGCAGACCAACUGGGCAUGCGCCAGGUGAC